CGCCUAUAAGCUAGCCCAACCCCCUCACCCAACAAACCAACAUAAAUACCCACCAAAAUACGUAACCAACACAACUAAACCAUUUUUCCACCCUAGUCCAGGCGAUAGAAAAGGAAAUCCGGAGCAAUAGAAAAAGUACCGCAAGGGAAAGCUGAAAAAGAGAUGAAACAGCUCAGUAAAGCUUAAAGAAGCAGAGAUAGAAGCUCGUACCUUUUGCAUCAUGAUUUAGCUAGUACCUUCAAGCAAAGAGAACUUAAAGUUUGCAACCCCGAAACUGCGUGAGCUACUCCAAGACAGCCCAUUUAUGGGGCAAACCCGUCUCUGUGGCAAAAGAGUGGGAAGAGCUUUGAGUAGAGGUGACAGACCUACCGAACCCAGUUAUAGCUGGUUGCCCGUGAAUUGAAUAGAAGUUCAGCCCCCUAAUUUCCCCACUCUUGCACCCUGUAGCCCUUCAGACGCAAAGAGAAACUAGGAGUGUAACUCAAAGGGGGUACAGCCCCUUUGAGAUAAGGUACAACUUUUUCAGCAGGAUAAAGAUCAUACUUAGCCAAGGACACAUGUCUUAGUGGGCCUAAAAGCAGCCACCUCAGUAGAAAGCGUUAAAGCUCAAGCAUACACACCUCCCUAUAUACCGAUAACUCUAUCUUAAACCCCUAAACUUAACGGGCCCUCCUAUGCCACUCAUAGGAAUGACCAUGCUAAUAUGAGUAAUAAGAGAGUAUUAAAAACUCUCUCCUUGCACAUGUGUAAGUCGGAACGGACCCACCACCGACUCUUAACGACCCCAACCAAAGAGGGGACUGGAAAAUGUCAUGAAUCGAUCAAAAAAACACCCAAUAUAACCCGUUAACCCCACACUGGCGUGCCUUUAAGGAAAGACCAAAAGGGGGAGAAGGAACUCGGCAAACAUACCCCAAGCCUCGCCUGUUUACCAAAAACAUCGCCUCUUGCAAAACCACAGUAUAAGAGGUCCCGCCUGCCCAGUGACUCAUAGUUCAACGGCCGCGGUAUUUUGACCGUGCUAAGGUAGCGUAAUCACUUGUCUUUUAAAUGAAGACCCGUAUGAAUGGCAUAACGAGGGCUUAACUGUCUCCUUCCCCAAGUCAAUGAAAUUGAUCUCCCCGUGCAGAAGCGGGGAUGAGCCCAUAAGACGAGAAGACCCUAUGGAGCUUUAGACACACAGGCAGAUCAUGUCAAAUGCGCCUUAUUACGGGCCCUGAACUAAGUGAACCCCUGCCCCUAUGUCUUCGGUUGGGGCGACCAUGGGGAACACAAAACCCCCACGUGGAAAAGGAGAACACCCCAAUAUUCCCACCCUCCUACAAACUAGAGCGACAGCUCAAACCAGCAGAAAUUCUGACCAAACAGAUCCGGCAACGCCGAUCAACGAACCAAGUUACCCUAGGGAUAACAGCGCAAUCCCCUUUUAGAGCCCAUAUCGACAAGGGGGUUUACGACCUCGAUGUUGGAUCAGGACAUCCUAAUGGUGCAGCCGCUAUUAAGGGUUCGUUUGUUCAACGAUUAAAGUCCUACGUGAUCUGAGUUCAGACCGGAGUAAUCCAGGUCAGUUUCUAUCUAUGUGAUGAUCUUUUCUAGUACGAAAGGACCGAAAAGAAGGAGCCCAUGCUACCAGCAAGCCCCACCCCCACCUGGUGAAAGAAUCUAAACCAGGCAAAAGGGCAUAACCCUCACGCUAAAGACAACAGCAU
rnacentral:rRNA from 1 species